UACGAAGGGUGCAAGCGUUAGUCGGAAUUACUGGGCGUAAAGCGUGCGUAGGCGGUUUCUUAAGUCCGUUGUGAAAGCCCUGGGCUCAACCUGGGAACUGCAGUGGAUACUGAGAGGCUAGAGUGUGUCAGAGGAUGGUGGAAUUCCCGGUGUAGCGGUGAAAUGCGUAGAGAUCGGGAGGAACAGCAGUGGCGAAGGCGGCCAUCUGGGACAACACUGACGCUGAGGCACGAAAGCGUGGGGAGCAAACAGG
rnacentral:rRNA from 1 species